rnacentral:rRNA from 1 species
GCUGCGGAGGCUACACAUGCAGUUGAGCGCGCUUCGGGUGAGCGGCGGACGGGUUAGUAACGCGUGGGAACGUGCCCUUCUCUACGGAAUAGCCUCUGGAAACGGAGAGUAAUACCGUAUACGCCCUUUGGGGGAAAGAUUAUCGGAGAAGGAUCGGCCCGCGUUAGAUUAGGUAGUUGGUGGGGUAACGGCCUACCAAGCCUACGAUCUAUAGCUGGUUUUAGAGGAUGAUCAGCAACACUGGGACUGAGACACGGCCCAGACUCCUACGGGAGGCAGCAGUGGGGAAUCUUAGACAAUGGGGGCAACCCUGAUCUAGCCAUGCCGCGUGAGUGAUGAAGGCCUUAGGGUCGUAAAGCUCUUUCGCCUGUGAUGAUAAUGACAGUAGCAGGUAAAGAAACCCCGGCUAACUCCGUGCCAGCAGCCGCGGUAAUACGGAGGGGGUUAGCGUUGUUCGGAAUUACUGGGCGUAAAGCGCGCGUAGGCGGAUUAGAAAGUUGGGGGUGAAAUCCCGGGGCUCAACCCCGGAACUGCCUCCAAAACUGCUAGUCUAGAGUUCGAGAGAGGUGAGUGGAAUUCCGAGUGUAGAGGUGAAAUUCGUAGAUAUUCGGAGGAACACCAGUGGCGAAGGCGGCUCACUGGCUCGAUACUGACGCUGAGGUGCGAAAGUGUGGGGAGCAAACAGGAUUAGAUA